GGCGCGGGAAUAGCUCAGUUGGUAGAGCACGACCUUGCCAAGGUCGGGGUCGCGAGUUCGAGUCUCGUUUCCCGCUC
rnacentral:tRNA from 1 species